GGGAUGUAGCUCAGUGACAGGACACUUGCCUUGAAUGCAGGAGACCCAUGGGUUCAAUCCCCAGUACCCA
rnacentral:tRNA from 1 species